AGCUACAGGCUUAACACAUGCAAGUCGAGGGGCAGCAUUUUAGUUUGCUUGCAAACUGAAGAUGGCGACCGGCGCACGGGUGAGUAACACGUAUCCAACCUGCCGAUAACUCCGGGAUAGCCUUUCGAAAGAAAGAUUAAUACCGGAUAGCAUACGAAUAUCGCAUGAUAUUUUUAUUAAAGAAUUUCGGUUAUCGAUGGGGAUGCGUUCCAUUAGUUUGUUGGCGGGGUAACGGCCCACCAAGACUACGAUGGAUAGGGGUUCUGAGAGGAAGGUCCCCCACAUUGGAACUGAGACACGGUCCAAACUCCUACGGGAGGCAGCAGUGAGGAAUAUUGGUCAAUGGGCGCGAGCCUGAACCAGCCAAGUAGCGUGAAGGAUGAAGGCUCUAUGGGUCGUAAACUUCUUUUAUAUGGGAAUAAAGUUUUCCACGUGUGGAAUUUUGUAUGUACCAUAUGAAUAAGGAUCGGCUAACUCCGUGCCAGCAGCCGCGGUAAUACGGAGGAUCCGAGCGUUAUCCGGAUUUAUUGGGUUUAAAGGGGGCGUAGGUGGAUUGUUAAGUCAGUUGUGAAAGUUUGCGGCCCAACCGUAAAAUUGCAGUUGAAACUGGCAGUCUUGAGUACAGUAGAGGUGGGCGGAAUUCGUGGUGUAGCGGUGAAAUGCUUAGAUAUCACGAAGAACUCCGAUUGCGAAGGCAGCUCACUAGACUGUCACUGACACUGAUGCUCGAAAGUGUGGGUAUCAAACAGGAUUAGAUACCCUGGUAGUCCACACAGUAAACGAUGAAUACUCGCUGUUUGCGAUAUACAGUAAGCGGCCAAGCGAAAGCAUUAAGUAUUCCACCUGGGGAGUACGCCGGCAACGGUGAAACUCAAAGGAAUUGACGGGGGCCCGCACAAGCGGAGGAACAUGUGGUUUAAUUCGAUGAUACGCGAGGAACCUUACCCGGGCUUAAAUUGCAACAGAAUAUAUUGGAAACAGUAUAGCCGUAAGGCUGUUGUGAAGGUGCUGCAUGGUUGUCGUCAGCUCGUGCCGUGAGGUGUCGGCUUAAGUGCCAUAACGAGCGCAACCCUUAUCUUUAGUUACUAACAGGUCAUGCUGAGGACUCUAGAGAGACUGCCGUCGUAAGAUGUGAGGAAGGUGGGGAUGACGUCAAAUCAGCACGGCCCUUACGUCCGGGGCUACACACGUGUUACAAUGGGGGGUACAGAAGGCGGCUACCUGGUGACAGGAUGCUAAUCCCAAAAACCUCUCUCAGUUCGGAUCGAAGUCUGCAACCCGACUUCGUGAAGCUGGAUUCGCUAGUAAUCGCGCAUCAGCCAUGGCGCGGUGAAUACGUUCCCGGGCCUUGUACACACCGCCCGUCAAGCCAUGAAAGCCGGGGGUACCUGAAGUACGUAACCGCAAGGAGCGUCCUAGGGUAAAACUGGUAAUUGGGGCUAAGUCAUA
rnacentral:rRNA from 1 species